AUCGAUCCUUAAAAACACAUUCGUACACUUACCACUAACUAAACAACAACUACACGAUGCUUAGGUCGUUGGAGAAACACCAAAUGUCUCUCGAUCUUCUCCUAAAACGUAUCAGAUUAAUUAGAUAACAUAAAAUACAAAUUUUAGCACCACAACCUCGAACUUUCAAAAUCCCCAAACGCCUAAUGAACAAUUUUCAACAAAAAAACAAAGAAAAAACGAUGAAAACUUACCUCUAAGGAUUGAAACCUACCAAACAGAAGCAAUAGAAUCAAGAACCGAGUGAAAAAGAUAGCACAAUGAGAAGAAGGAACGCAAGAAACAAAAGAACAGAAAGGAAGAAAAAGAACAGAAUGUGAGAAAAAAAAAGAAAAAAAAUAGGAAACGUG
rnacentral:lncRNA from 1 species